rnacentral:rRNA from 1 species
AUUGAACGCUGGCGGCGUGCUUAACACAUGCAAGUCGAGCGGUAGCAGGCGUAGCAAUACGUGCUGACGAGCGGCGAACGGGUGAGUAAUGCUUCGGAAUCUUCCUCGUAGUGGGGAACAACCUGGGGAAACUCAGGCUAAUACCGCAUACGAACUACGGUUGAAAGCAGGGGAUCGCAAGACCUUGCGCUAUGAGAUGA